GGUUACCUGGGGUGUUUGACAGAGAACUUAUAUCCCUGAGCCGAUACUAUUUUGUAAGGAUUCCAUCCUUCCUACUAUUGCGCAGGCUCGGCUUGCCUUAUGGCACGAAUCGAGAAGCCUACGGUGGGAAUAUGGCAUCCGCCUUGAACACGUCGGUUGUUCAAGGGUUCGGUUUUCAUCGGCACUCUGGGAACCAC
rnacentral:other from 1 species